AACCGGCGAACGGGUGCGUAACACGUGAGCAACCUACCGAGAUGAGGGGGAUAGCCGGCCCAACGGCCGGGUAAUACCGCAUACGAUCAUUUGGGGGAGUCCCCGGAUGAGGAAACUCGUAAGAGGCAUUUCGAGGGGCUCGCGGCCUAUCAGCUAGUUGGCGGGGUAAUGGCCCACCAAGGCGACGACGGGUAGCUGGUCUGAGAGGAUGGCCAGCCACAUUGGGACUGAGAAACGGCCCAGACUCCUACGGGAGGCAGCAGUGGGGAAUCUUGCGCAAUGGUCGAGAGACUGACGCAGCGACGCCGCGUGUGGGAGGACGCCCUUCGGGGUGUAAACCACUGUUGCCCGGGACGAACAAGCGGUUUCGACCGCUCUGACGGUACCGGGUGAGGAAGCACCGGCUAACUCCGUGCCAGCAGCCGCGGUAAUACGGAGGGUGCGAGCGUUGUCCGGAAUCACUGGGCGUAAAGGGCGCGUAGGCGGCGCGGGAAGUCAACGGUGAAAGUUCAGGGCUCAACCCUGAAUCGGCCGUCGAUACUCCCGGGCUUGAGCACUGUAGAGGCAGGUGGAAUUCCGGGUGUAGCGGUGGAAUGCGUAGAGAUCCGGAAGAACACCGGUGGCGAAGGCGGCCUGCUGGGCAGUAGC
rnacentral:rRNA from 1 species